rnacentral:rRNA from 1 species
UAGGGAAUCUUCGGCAAUGGACGAAAGUCUGACCGAGCAACGCCGCGUGAGUGAAGAAGGUUUUCGGAUCGUAAAACUCUGUUGUUGAGAAGAACAAGGGUGAGAGUAACUGUUCACCCCUUGACGGUACUAACCAGAAAGCCACGGCCAACUACGUGCCAG